ACAGUGGGGAGCUGGGGAAGGAGCUGUCAGUCUCCUAGGGCUGCCUGACAGAUGACCCAAAUUCCCACAGACGGGUGGCUUCAGACAGCAACAGUCUGUUCUCCCUCCCCCAGCUCGGGAGGCCGGGUUCUGACCGCAGCCUGGGCAGGGCCACCUCCCUUCGAGGCUACGGGGGGAGCUCCUUCCUCCCUCUCUCUGCUCUGGGCUCUUAGGGGUCCUGAUGUCCCUGUUUGUGGCUGCCUUGUGGCAGUCUCCCCUCUGUGUCCGUGUCCUCCCUCUUCUUGUGAGGACAUCAGCCCCUGGAUCUGUGGCCUUCCUCGAGCUCAGUAUGAUUCCUCUCUAGACCCUUAACCCAGCUACCCCUGCAAAGGCCCUGCAUGGAAACCAGGCCACACCCACAGGGGCUGGGGUCAGGGUGUGGCCGUAUAACGAGGGGACACUAAUCAGCCUAUUGCAGACCAAGUGGAGCCGUGGGUGGCCCCAGG
rnacentral:lncRNA from 1 species